AUUGAACGCUGGCGGCAGGCCUAACACAUGCAAGUCGAACGAGUGGCGGACGGGUGAGUAAUGUCUGGGAAACUGCCUGAUGGAGGGGGAUAACUACUGGAAACGGUAGCUAAUACCGCAUCCCAUCGGAUGUGCCCAGAUGGGAUUAGCUUGUUGGUGGGGUAACGGCUCAACAAGGCGACGAUCCCUAGCUGGUCUGAGAGGAUGACCAGCCACGCUGGGACUGAGACACGGUCCAGACUCCGACGGGAGGCAGCAGUGGGGAAUAGUGCACAAUGGGUGCAAGCCUGAUGAAGCCAUGCCGCGUGUAUGAAGAAGGCCUUCGGGUUGUAAAGUACUUUCAGCGGGGAGGAGUUCACCUCAGAAGAAGCACCGGCUAACUCCGUGCCAGCAGCCGCGGUAAUAC
rnacentral:rRNA from 1 species